rnacentral:lncRNA from 1 species
UACAACUUCCAUCUUACAGCUCGUCAGCCACUUCACAGUCUGAGGUCCGAAAUGGAAUUUCGUCCGUCGUCGUGGCGAUCCCGGAAGCCGCCGCCGCCGGCGAAGCAAUCCGAUAUUUACUCCACCUUCGUCAUCCACGACAACGACCGGAAAACCGAUGAGAAAGACAAUUCAGACCUCUAUGCUACUAUGGUUUGCAAAGACGAUGACGAUGACGACGUUGUAGAUGACUUAAACGACGACGAAUCACUUCCUCCUUUACUCAAACGUCUACCUAAGGACUUCGGCGGAGGAGGUGGAGCUAUAGAUUCAGUUUCUGACGAUGAUAUGGCAUCAAUCUCCGGCACGAUGAUUGUGAAAACCGAUCGAAGUUCGAAAUUCACCACUCCUAAACAACCACAGCAGCAGACUGCUCGUUAUAUGUCGUAUUGGGAUCGGGAUGAGAAAAGCCCUGUGAGAAGGAGAUAUGAGGAAGAUGAGGAUGAGGAUGAGGAUGAGGAGGAUGAGGAAGGUAGGUUUUCGACGUUUGUAGUGAAGGAUACUGAGUUUGAUUCGGGGACGAUGGUGAGGAGAACUGUUAGAAGUGGAAGUAAUGAAGGUGUUGGAUCAACUAUGAGCAGAGCAGUGGCUAGUAUGCAGGCAGCAGGGGAGAUUGGAAUUGGGAGGCAGAGGAAUCGUAGCAGUAGAGCGCCCUCUGAUGAGGAAGGUGGUGGUGGUACAUUGAGGCCACAGGGCAGUAAGGUGUCGUCGAGUUCAAUACCGGACAGUGUGACUAGGGAAGAUCCUUGUACUAAGUAUGAAUUGCUCCACGAGCUAGGUAAAGUUUGGUUUCCAUCUUUAUGUGCUUUGAGAUGAUUUCAAUAGUGAAAAUUAUCUGCUCUUGUUAUGCUUUAACCAAUCACUAGAUAUAGUUAGUGCAAUUUGUUAUCUGUGAACCUCAAUUAGUCCUAAAAGAAUUUCUUUUCGGAAGGGGUAAGUUUUAUUGAUGUCAAAAACAAGCACUAAGAAAGUGCUGUAGGUAAAUCCAAAAGGAG